UUUUUGAAAUCCUGGACAGAAUCGUGCCCAAGAAAACCUGCGUGACAGAAUAAAAAUAAAAAUAACAGAAUUAAAGAUUUGAUUUGGAAAAAAAUGAAAAAAAACAGAAUCUAAAGUUGACUGAAAUUGUGAUUAUGAAAAUAAUAAAAAUAAUAAUGAGAGUUGAAGGAAAAGAAAUUCUUGUUGGUAGAUUCUAGCCUCCAGUUGUCUCAUUCCGCCUUGGGUUCGAUCCUCGGCUUUUAAAUAACCCUUCUCAACUCAAGUAAGCUAGUUAUAGUGAAAGAGGACGCCUACAACC
rnacentral:lncRNA from 1 species